GACGUAGGGCGCGGAGCGUUGUCCGGAUUUAUUGGGCGUAAAGAGCUCGUAGGCGGCUUGUCGCGUCGAAUGUGAAAUCUCAGGGCUCAACUCUGACAUUGCAUUCGAUACGGGCAGGCUAGAGUUCGGUAGGGGAGACUGGAAUUCCUGGUGUAGCGGUGAAAUGCGCAGAUAUCAGGAGGAACACCGGUGGCGAAGGCGGGUCUCUGGGCCGAUACUGACGCUGAGGAGCGAAAGCGUGGGGAGCGAACAGG
rnacentral:rRNA from 1 species